GUGGUGUUAGCUCAAAUGGUUAGAGCAUCACUCAUGUAAGUUGAGGUUGUGAGUUCGACUCUCACAGUACAUG
rnacentral:tRNA from 1 species